CUAAGGCCCGCUCAGACCCUAAACUACUUUGUAUACCCAAAGCUCAUGAAGUGGCUCUACUGAAAUCUGCCACCUUUUCAGGAACUUCCUCCAAAGGCACCCAAAGGAGCUCCGAAGCUGCCUGGAUUGAUUUCAGCUUCUCGCCUCCCUGCCUGUGACC